AUGCUGUUCAUGGCUGUUUUGGGUUUGAGGGUCUUGCUGGCAAAAUGUGUCGCCUUCAACAUACUCAUGAGUAUCUGUCUGUUCAUAUUCUGAGGUUAAGUGAGCCAGCAGCGGGCUGAAGAAGAGAAGGAGAGAAUAUAUAGCAGUGUAAUUUAAACUCUGUGGCUCAACUUUGCUGACAAUAAGCAUCUAAAGAAACAAAGAAGCAACACCCCAAUCCCAGUUCCUGUAGAUUUGAUUAAGUCCCAUCACUUCAUCAAGGUGCUCUUCAGUUAACAUCAUCUGAAAGCUAUCUUAAACCGUUAAUACUGUUGAACUCUUGCCUUUUUCAGUUCCAUUAAUUAUUAAAACAACAAUUUGUUAUUUCUUAUUUCCUUACAAAAUUUCCUUCAUCGUUAUGCUAAGCAGGAAUACUUUAUUUUCUUACGUCUCUUGCUUUAUCCACUGCAUUUAAG
rnacentral:lncRNA from 1 species